UGGGGAAUCUUGGACAAUGGGCGCAAGCCUGAUCCAGCCAUGCCGCGUGAGUGACGAAGGUCUUCGGAUUGUAAAGCUCUUUUGGCGGGGACGAUAAUGACGGUACCCGCAGAAUAAGCCCCGGCUAACUUCGUGCCAGCAGCCGCGGUAAUACGAAGGGGGCUAGCGUUGUUCGGAAUUACUGGGCGUAAAGCGCACGUAGGCGGAUCUAUAAGUCAGGGGCGAAAUCCCGGGGCUCAACCUCGGAACUGCCUUUGAUACUGUAGAUCUCGAGUCCGGAAGAGGUGAGUGGAAUUCCUAGUGUAGAGGUGAAAUUCGUAGAUAUUAGGAAGAACACCAGUGGCGAAGGCGGCUCACUGGUCCGGUACUGACGCUGAGGUGCGAAAGCGUGGGGAGCAAACGGGAUUAGAUACCCCCGUAGUCCCUGAGCGGGCUGGCAAGGCGCAU
rnacentral:rRNA from 1 species